rnacentral:lncRNA from 1 species
UGUUUUCUCUCUUCCUCUCCUUGUCUACAAUGAACGUCAGUGAGUAGACUUCUCUCGUCUUGGGAUUGUUGGAUAAGUCUAAUGACAUAAUCCUAAUCAAACCAAGCUUUAAACCUUAAUCUUAUGUAACCCUAAUUCCUUAUCUAAAUUCACCGCUUUAACAUAGAUCAACCAUUAUCAAACUGUGGAAACGAAAGUAGAAGGUUUGAUAAUAAUUUAUCCAUCAUCUCAAAUAUCA